rnacentral:lncRNA from 1 species
UUUUGGAGCACUAACUAGACAUAAAGAGAAAAGGUACAAUUUACAACCAAAAGAGCAGGUUCUGAAGGUCCAACAAAAUGACCUGCUAUCAAGCUAUAAGCCUGAAAAUGAUAAAUAAUGAGAUGGUGAGUUCAACAUCUAAGUGAGUAGAUAACGUUCAAUAUACACACAUGAGGUGAUACAGCAAUGAGAAAUAUAUAUACAAGUAUGGCUUUAGGUUCUUAUGGAAAUGUUUCUCAAAUUGGCCAUAACAAGAAGAUCAUAUGGUAAAACUCGUCAGAAAAUCAAAAUGCAAUGAGCAUGAGGCUCCGUACUGUGGGAUGAUCAGUCCACACAGGUUGGUGACUCCCCCGACCAACUAGGGUUCAGAUACGAUGUGCACAAAGACUAACACUACCCUGUUAGCAUGGGUACUCUGACUGGCAUACCAUAGGUUCAUAAUCAAACAGACAUAUUCAUAUCUCAAGGCUCAACUCAUGACAUCAAUCAAAUAAGGAGCUAUCAAUUCAGAAUUCAAUUCAAAAUAUAUACUGGUUCAUAUCAAGAAUUCAUAUUCAAUAAUUGAUCAUGCUUUAUCAAAACAAGGAUAAUAAUCAACAUAUAUAUUAUCAAGAAGCAUGAUCCAAUUCAUAUUAACAAAUCAAAUAUUUAUAAUAUUUCUCAUGCAUAUGAAAAAUUAUCCACUCACCUGACUCGAAAGCAAACAGAAGUCAAAAGCAGACACCGAAGAAAAUCCUACUAACGUCCCGCCGGUAGAAUAUCAGGAUUAUCUGAAUAUAAAGGAGACAUAUUCAAGAAUGACUCAAAAAAAUAUAACCUAUUUAAUACACUUAUCUAAGGGUGUAUUCCAUAACCCUAUAUGUUUUUGAACUAUCUAGUUAUUUUUUCUAAAAACCCAACAUUUAACGGUUUUCCCGAAAUCUAAUCCAUAAUAAAACAAAUAAUAAAAUUUGUAAUAAUUCACUAAAUAAUCCUCAAUUAUUCAUCAAACCAAUCUGAAAAAGGUAAUAUUACAGCUAGGGACUAAUAUGUAAUUUAUCAUAUUUUUAAGGGUCAAAUUGCAACUUUUGUCAAAUUGAAGGACCAAACUAAAAUUAUCAUAAAUCCAUGACUAUACUGAAAUUCUGACUAUAAUUAAUCCUCAAUUCUGUCCAGAUCAUCUCAUUAUACUCCAGGGACCAUUCUGGAAUUUUACCAAAUUUUUAGGGUCAAAUUGGAGGACUAAAUUGAAAGUGUUAAAAUUUCAUAACUAUACAGGAAUUCUGCCCAUAAUUCAUAUGUUAUUCUGUUCAGAUUCUCGGAAUAGGCUCCAGGGACCAAUUUGCAAAUUUUUCAAAGUUUGGGGACUAAACUGUAAUUUUCCAAAAUUGGGGGACCAAACCGAAAUUUUGUCAUCUUCAACCUCAAACCCAGAAUUCUCACAGAUUACCUACUGUUCUUUCCAAAAUUCUAACUCAACAUUCACCAUUUACACAAUUCAUAACUCAAAAUCAUCACAAUCUUCCAUAAUCAACUCAUUAAUCAAUUACUCAUAACAAUCAACCUUAUAACAUUCAAUUUAAUUCAUCAAUUAAACCCAAAACACAACUUUUCAAAACCCUAACAUUCAUCAAAACUGAUAUUAAGUUCAAUUAACAUACAUUUAUACAUUUAACAACCUAAAUCUUACCUUUAAACUUAUUCUCUUCAACUCCUUUCUAUUUCCCUUCUAAUUCCCUCUUUUCUCUUCUUCCUCUUCUUUCUCCCUUCACUCCUGCCGGUUCUCUCU